UACGAGGGGGGCAAGCGUUGUUCGGAAUUAUUGGGCGUAAAGGGCGCGUAGGCGGUGCGGUAAGUCUGAUGUGAAAUCUCCGGGCUCAACUCGGAGUCUGCAUCAGAAACUGCCGUGCUCGAGUGUGGGAGAGGUGAGUGGAAUUCCCGGUGUAGCGGUGAAGUGCGUAGAUAUCGGGAGGAACACCUGUGGCGAAAGCGGCUCACUGGACCACAACUGACGCUCAUGCACGACAGCGUGGGGAUCAAACAGG
rnacentral:rRNA from 1 species